AUGCGCCCUGCCUGGCCCCCACCUGGUCCUCUUUCCUUUUCAGGUGGAGGAGAUGCCGCUGUCCCGUCGGUCUGGGGACAGCCCAGCUCCCCGGAUCCCGGGCUGGAGAGACGCGUCGCGGCCCCGGGGCCUGGUGGCACGAGCAGGAAGGAGGACCCGGCGGCGGGCUCUGCCUGGGCUUGCCUGGGCUUGUUCCGAGCCGGGCUGCUUCUCGGUGACCACGCAGAUCGGGGGCAUUUGGAGAUUUUGCGGGAGUCCUGCAGCCAAGCUCCGGGGCAGGAGAGGCCUGGAAGCCUGCACUACCUGCUCGCCCCGUCCCAGCAUGCACCCAGGUGCUGGGGAGAGGCAGGACAGGCCUGUCCCCCGAGUCCCCUCCGGAUGCCGUGGACCGGCCAGCUGUGAGUGUUUCUUUGGCAGUGUCUUAGCUGGUUGUUGUGAGCAAUAGUAAGGAAGCAAUCAGCAAGUAUACUGCCCUAGAAGUGCUGCACGUUGUGGGGCCCAAGAGGGAAGAUGAAGCGAGAGAUGCCCAGACCAGUGGGAGACGCCAGGACUUCGGAAGCUCUUCUGCGCCACGGUGGGUGGUGAGGGCGGCUGGGAAAGUGAGCUCCAGGGCCCCAGGAGCAGCCUGCUCGUGGGUGCGGAAGGAAAAAGGCACAGGGGCUUGGUGUGGGCGGCUUUUGGCUGGGAGAAGUUUGCACGUAGGGAGAAUAGUAGCCAGUGUUUGCAGAGCACUUACUAUGCAGGAAGGCCUGUCCUAAGUAUUGUAAGUGUAUUACAUCAUGUACAAGUGUCUGUGAUUAACCCCGUCUUGCAGAGAAGGAAACAAAAGUACAAACAGAAAAUGUAACUAAGCAUGCAAUUAAUAAAAAGGGACCAGGUUUUGAACGCGAGCAAUCUGGCUCAAGAAUCUGCGCCCAACCACCGGCUCCUGUUCUUAGAGAUGAACGUGGAGUCCUGGAGACUGCUCAACAUUGUGACUUGACUGUGAGCGUACGCGCUCCCUGUCCCCAGGAGACAGAUUUCCAGUGCAAUCAUAGAAAGUGCCUGUGUGGGCUUCGGGAGAUGUGUCUGCCUUGGGGAGAAUUUUCCUUUUCAGCUAGAGCCAGGCCCAGGAUGUUGACGUCAGUGAGACGCUGGUGACGUUCUCUGCUCCAGUGGCUGAUGAGAAAAGUUCCUCCAAGCCAGCUCAGUUGAGAAGAAUUAAGUUCUCUGGGUCCCACUGGCUUCACCUACAGAUGCCAACUUUGAGGCCAGUGAACUGUGAGGCCAGCUGGGCUGAUUGCCAUGGCAACAGGAAUUGGACCAAAGUCACCGGAGGAUGGAGAGGGAAGACACAGUGGUGGCUUCCCCAGGUCUUGGACCACAAGGCACAGCCGUGGCCUCCAGGAACCCUGAGAUAACCCGUUAGUGGGUCCUGCACUCCAACAGAGCUCAUGCAAUCAGCCUCUGGUCCUCACCCUCCUCCCAUUGGUGUCGUUGUGCUCUCUAACAUUGACAUUGAGCAGUGAGUGCUCCAGAUCUUGUUCCACUGAUUUUUUCCACUGUUCUCCAGUCUAGCACUUUCUGAAAUUCAUCCAAGCCUAAGAGGUGACGCCAAACGUAAGUGUCUUACACCUCGGACCCCAUGGACUAAGACAAGCCUCUGGGGUCCAUGUGGCACCAAGGAUGGGGCCUUCUAGUACCUUUCACACAGGCCAGGGACAGCACCUGCUGCGACCCCCACCCCCAGCCUCUGCUGCUUCUCCCGUUGCCCUUCCAGCCACUGCCCUGGGCACCUCCCCUGCUCCCGCCUCCCUGCCUGGGCCCAUCUUUCUUUGCACCUCACCAAUUGCGGGGCUUCCUAGUGCUGGAGGGGAAGGGAGCCUGCUUCCAUUCUCACCACUCUGAAAGAAGACCCUGCAGAGAGGUUUUCUGGAAUUUGGAGCCUAACCUUGGCCUUGACACAGUCCAGAUGAGAAGGCCGUCCCCCAGUUAAGCCAGCCCUCCCUCCCUCUCAAUGCUGGAGAGGAAACCAGGCAGCUGGUUGCUUCAGCAAACCCCCUCCCUAUGGGAAUUGUCCUUUUCUUCCUCAAAUAGACUGGAGUGCAGAGGACUUGCUUCAGAGAGAGCCCCUUUGUAACGCACAUUGCACGGGCCGUGCCCCAUGCCCACUCUGCCACAAACUCCCCUCAGCUGCCCAGCCCCGUGGAGCCAGGCGUGGGCUGAAGUGGGGCCAAUGAAAUGCCUGGAAUGCCAGCCGCAGUGACAGGCCAGCACUCAGAUGCCUCUCGGGAGUUCUGACCGAAGCAGCACUGAGGACUGCUUCAGAGCAGAAGUCUACGCCAUUUUCCCCAGUUCUAGGCAGAAGUAAAGAAUGUCUCUACCUUCUCCCAACCAGCAAUUGAUUCAGAGUCCUGAGCUUUUAAAUUAAAGGGACCCCUCUGUUGCUUUAUGCAGUAGCCAGCUUAUUCAUUUGAGUUCAGGUGAAAUCAUUUUCAAGUAACCUCUUCCUAUCCAGCUUUACUUUUAGUUAUGCUGACAUAAAAACAAUAAAAAUUGUCCUCCUCAGAGUUCACCUGUAAAAGUUCCUGGAUAAUUAGUAAGGAAACAGAAAGAGCAGAUAGUUGUUGCUUCAGAUAAAAGUGAUGUCUGGGUUGGGCACGGUGGCGCAUGCCUGUAAUCCCAGCACUUGGGGAGGCCCAGGUGGAUGGAUCCCUUGAGCUCAGGAGUUUCAGACCAGCCUGGGCAACAUCUCUACAAAAAAUACAAAAAUUAGCCAGGCAUAGUGGCAGGACUGUAGUCCCAGCUACUCAGGAGGCUGAGGUCAGGGGAUGGCUUGAGCCCAGGAGGCACAGAUUGAAGUGAGCUGAGAUUGCGCCACUGUAUUCCAGCCUAGGUGACAGAGCCAGACCCUGUCUCAAAUUAAAAAAAACUCUUUGUGGUCAUUUAAUUUACUUCUGCAUUCUUUUUUUUUUUUUUUUGAAAUGGGCAGUGGUACCAUCUCAGCUCACUGCAACCUCUGCCUUGGGGGUUCAAGUGAUUCUCCUGCCUCAGCCUCCCGAGUAGCUGGGAUUACAGGCACCCGCCACCACGCCCAGCUAAUUUUUGUAUUUUUAGUAGAGACGGGGCUUUGCCAUGUUGACCAGGCUGGACUCAAACUCCUGACCUCAGGUGAUCCGCCCACCUCGGCCUCCCAAAGCACUGGGAUUACAGGAAUGAGCCACUGCACUCGGCCUACUUCUGCAUUCCUUAGAGUACAUCCUAGCUAGGAUAUAUUCACUUGUCUUUAGAGCUAACAGCAGAAGAAAGGUACCUAGAUGCUUAUCUAGCUCUUUAUCUUUCUAGAAAUUCUAGAAGAUGAGAGGGGCAGUGGUGGCUCCAAGGGAGUGAUUUUAGGAUGGACUGGGACAGAGAGGGGCUGCUUACACAUACUCACACAGAGGCCAUUAAUUUAGGGAGUUCAAGGUCCAGGAGGUUGACGGCAUCUAGGCCUGUGGCAGAGUGCACUCCUGCUUUGGGGAAUGUAUGGGCAGCUUCUUGCCUGUAGUUGGAGGGUUAGAGAGAGGGAUCAAUAAUUUCAUGGUUGGACUUGAGUUUGGAGCGAGUGGAGUUAGAUACAAAUUCUAUGUUUUUGGAGAAAGUAUUUGAUCUUCUUGGCUGUGAGGCAAAGCGAGGUUUAAAAAUAUUUUUCACUUAAAAAUAUAUAUAUAUGCAUGUAUAUUUAAUACUGUCUAUGGAUUGUGCCAAUAUCUAUUUCAUGGUUUUGAUAUUGUGUAGUUAUACAAGGAGUUACCACUGAACGAAACUGGGGGAAGGGUACACAGAAUCUCUGUACUUUUUUUGUUGUUGUUGCAAUUUCCUGUAAAUCUAUGAUUAUUUUAAAAUAAAAAAGUUAAAGCAUACGUAUUUACAUUUGAUUAAAUGCAGUGUGAUAUCCUGGGUUGGAUUUUGGAACAAAACAAGGCAUGAGUGAAAAAACUGGUAAAAUCCAAAAAAGCCUUUAGUUAAAAGUAAUACCAGUGUUAAUUUCUUAGUUUUGACAAAUGUGCCAUGGCUGUGUAAGAUGCAAAUGUUAGAGGAAACUGGGCGAAGAAUUUGAGGGAACUCUCUGUACUAUUCUUUGCAGCUUUUCUGUAAAUCUACAAUUAUUCCAAAAUAAAAGUCUAUUAAAAAUGUAA
rnacentral:lncRNA from 1 species